UGACCCAAGCAACUGUUCUCAGUUGAGGUGCUUUGACCUUCUCAAUGCCCUGUGCAGAGACAGCCAGGCUGAGUCUCCUGUGCUCCAGCCCCGGGUGGCAGGGAGGAAGCUGGGCUGGAGACUUCUCAGGGGUGGGGAGAAGGGCAAAGGACAGAAACAAGAGUUUCCCAAGUGUCUGUAAGCAAGUUUGAUGAGCCCAGGGUGCUCAGCUUAGCUAAAGAAGUGAAGCCUUGAGGGAGCCCUGUGGUGUGAUUUCGCAGAGGGCCUGAGGGAACUGAUGGCCUGGCUGAGUCUAAGGGGUGAUGAGGGCUGAGGCAUGGGGGAGGUUCUGGCCCAAAUGGGGUUCAACAUUCUGUAGGCCUUUUCUGAGGCUGUGGCUUAGGUUUUGCCCACAGGAACCGGCUGCUGAGGUAGAGUGGAAUACAGACUUAGAGAAGGCUCUGGAAGACCACACUCAAUGUCCUCCAUGUUCAUGUAGAUUGAGGAUGUGAGGAACAACAGAACACUGUCAGAAAGGGUUUUUAAAAGCAUGACAUCAGGUUUAAACAGGGCAGUACUUUAAAGGUGGCUAGGCACUGGAGGACUAAAUGUAGUUUGGUAAAAUAAGCAACAAACAUAAUUAUUUCAAAAGAAGUUCUCUUACUAUGAAAUAGGGAAAAACCUUUUAUCUUGUGAAUGUUGAAAAGGUAUAGUGAGUCACAUGUUAGGGAAGGGGUGUGUUGGGAGGAGGAUGGAAAAAGGUUAACUAUAAACCUAACUGUGUUUACAAGCUGUGAUAAAUGGUCCCUUCCUAAAACAAACACCUGGUUGAGGAAGCUUAUUGCAUUUUAUUUCAUAAUCUAGGGUAUAGUCCAGAUGAUUUCAAAUCUGGGAGAAGCUGUUUAUUUAGAGUGUAUGACAACAAACCACAAAAUGUUAAGAAACUAGCCUCUGGUCAGGCACAGUGAUGCGUAUCUGUGACUCUAGCAACUGGGAGGCCAAGGCAGGAGGAUCAAAAGUUGGAGGCCAGUCUGAGCAAUUUAGCAAGACCCUGUCUCAAAAUAAAAAACAAAAAGGGCCAAGGAUGUAGCUCAAUGAUAAUGUGCCCUAAGUUCAAUCCCCAGUACUGGGAGUGGGAGGAAACUAGCUACUAAGAAGAAAAUGGUAUGUUUUAGUCAAAU
rnacentral:lncRNA from 1 species